AAACGAUCGCAACACAAUCGAAAGAACGACGUGGGAUAGCGAGCGAUAAAAGCCAGAGCAAGAGCAAGAGCAAGAGAGGAGCGAUCGAUCGAGAGGAGAAGACGAAAGAGUCGGAUUGCCAUGGACGACGGCACCGUGAUCAUCCUCUUCUUCUUCUUGGCCUUCUUCAUGUUCACCUUCGCCGCGUCCCUCUUCUUGUGGUUCACGAUAUGGUGGCCCUGGCUCUGCCGCGUUAUCACCCUGACGCGGAACCUGCUGAGUAACCUCUUUACCCUGUGCCAAGCCAGCAUGGAGGCCGACGAGUAGAUCCGCACGCUCUCCUGCCGCCACGUCAAGUGCGAUGUCAUCGACGAAUGGCUUCGCACUGGACGGAUGACGUGCUACCGUGGAAGCGGUUGCCGCGGACGUCGUCGACGCGGGAUUUGAAGGAGGCGCGGCUAGUUGCUUUCCGGCGCACAACGACAAACUACCUGUAGCGUCGUUUCUUUUUAUGCAUCUAUCAUUUCGUCAUUUCUUUUCCGGCAUCCUUGGAACUGGUCGAGGGUGGGUAGUGCGUCUUUCUGAUAGUCAGGAACUCAGGAUCUGUUCUUCACGUACUCCUUAGUUGUUUCCGUUUUUGCUGCGUUGGAACUGAUCGACAUUAGCUACAUUCCUGUUCUUUUGUUCAGACUUCAGAGUUGAGUUCACCUUAAAAUGUUUGAAUGCCUAGAAACGAUGACUUGUUAGUUCUUGCAUCAGCUAUAAUGUUCCGACAGAAGCUAAUAGAUCCUUGGUUUUGAUUUCUCUCAUACUCUGUUUAAUUCUUUAGAACCUUAAUGUGAGAAUGGUCUCAGU